AACGAACGCUGGCGGCAUGCCUAACACAUGCAAGUCGAACGGGAUCCUGGCUUCGGUCAGGUGAGAGUGGCGGACGGGUGAGUAACGCGUGGGAACCUGCCCAGUGGUGGGGGAUAACUGCGGGAAACUGCAGCUAAUACCGCAUGAGCCCGAGAGGGGAAAGAUUUAUCGCCAUUGGAGGGGCCCGCGUUCGAUUAGGUAGUUGGUGAGGUAACGGCUCACCAAGCCGACGAUCGAUAGCUGGUCUGAGAGGAUGAUCAGCCACACUGGGACUGAGAUACGGCCCAGACUCCUACGGGAGGCAGCAGUGGGGGAAUAUUGGACAAUGGGGGGCAACCCUGAUCCAGCAAUGCCGCGUGAGUGAUGAAGGCCUCGGUUGUAAG
rnacentral:rRNA from 1 species